CCCCCCCCCCCCCCCCCCCCCCAAAAUCUACUUGGAGGCUUUGAAACUAAGCGAAGAGGAAGAAGGAUGCUAAGCUUUCAAUGCUCUCUUCACCUGCUUCAGCCUUAUUGUUCGGCGAGUUACAAUAACCACUCGAAUCUUCGCUUCCACAAUUUGGCGCCGUUUCGUGUCACCAGAACGAUUCAAGCACCAAAGAUCCAGAGGGUACGUGCGGAUUGGUCUAGGAGGAGUGUAAAAGUGCGAGUUAAUGGUCUGAAUCGAGAAAUGGAAGAAGAAGAAGAAGAUGUGGAAGAGUCUGAAGAAGAAGAUGAGUUCACGUCGAGGAAGAGAGAAAGUUACGGAGGGAAGAAGGAAGAUAUCAAUUACGAUAAAGACCCCGAGUUCGCUGAUAUUCUUGGUGAUUGUUUAGAUAACCCAGAGAAAGCUCAAAAGAAGAUGGAAGAGAGGUUGAGGAAGAAAAGGAACAAGAUUCUGCAUACCAAAACUGGUUCUGCUACUUCCAUGCAGGUCACUUUCAACAAGUUUGAGUAUUCGAAUUCAUACAUGUGGUUGGAGUUUCACAACGCUCCUCUGGAUAAAGACAUUGCCUUGAUCACUGAUGCAAUCCGUUCGUGGCAUAUCCUUGGACGACUUGGUGGAUACAACUCCAUGAAUAUGCAAUUAUCGCAAGCGCCUGUGGAUAAAAGGCCAAACUAUGAUGCUAUCCUUGGAGCUAAUAUCGAGCCAACCACAUUCUAUAACAUCGGUGAUCUUGAGGUCCAAGACAAUGUCGCUCGCAUCUGGCUAGACAUUGGGACCUCAGAGCCGUUGAUUCUUGAUGUUCUCAUAAACGCAUUGACACAAAUCAGCUCAGACUAUGUUGGGAUAAAGAAAGUUGUGUUUGGUGGAUCUGAGUUUGAGAACUGGAAGGAGAAUUUGACAUCCGAGGAGUCUGGUUUCAGAGUCCACAAGAUUUAACAUGCUCUUUACUUUGUUUGAAAGACCACAAAGAUGUAACUUUCUCACUAAAACUUAUAAAUUACAUCAUUCAGCUUCUAUAUAGCUUGAUGUAUGCUCCCUAUUUUAUCACUGUUGUUAAAUUGCAAUCACGUUUAAAAAUGAUCAGAUGGCAGUUAUUUCUUGUCUCUCUGAAGAGAUAAAACCA